AUUUAAUAAUAAGAUACAGGUUUAAUUAUUUUGUAAUUAAUUAAAAGGGAAUCAGGUUAAAAUCCUGAACGGUCCCGCCACUGUAAUAGAAGAGUUUAAAUACAAUAUAUAGAGAAUAAAUAGUUGUACAAAUUUUAUUAGUACUUUAUUUAUCUCCAUAUAAACCACUGGGAAACUGGGAAGGUGUAUUUAAAUGAUGAAUCUUUAGUCAGGAUACCUGCCUGUAUUUUUCGCCAUGG
rnacentral:ncRNA from 2 species